rnacentral:rRNA from 1 species
ACUCCUACGGGAGGCAGCAGUGGGGAAUAUUGGACAAUGGGCGCAAGCCUGAUCCAGCAAUGCCGCGUGUGUGAAGAAGGCCUUCGGGUUGUAAAGCACUUUUAUCAGGAGCGAAAUACUACUGGCUAAUAACCGGUGGGGCUGACGGUACCUGAGGAAUAAGCACCGGCUAACUUCGUGCCAGCAGCCGCGGUAAUACGAAGGGUGCAAGCGUUAAUCGGAAUUACUGGGCGUAAAGCGUGCGUAGGCGGUGAGUUAAGUCUGUUGUGAAAUCCCCGGGCUCAACCUGGGAAUGGCAAUGGAUACUGGCUCGCUAGAGUGUGAUAGAGGAUGGUGGAAUUCCCGGUGUAGCGGUGAAAUGCGUAGAGAUCGGGAGGAACAUCAGUGGCGAAGGCGGCCAUCUGGAUCAACACUGACGCUGAGGCACGAAAGCGUGGGGAGCAAACAGGAUUAGAUACCCUGGUAGUCCACGCCCUAAACGAUGCGAACUGGAUGUUGGUCUCAACUCGGAGAUCAGUGUCGAAGCUAACGCGUUAAGUUCGCCGCCUGGGGAGUACGGUCGCAAGACUGAAACUCAAAGGAAUUGACG